rnacentral:rRNA from 1 species
UACGUAGGGUGCGAGCGUUGUCCGGAAUCACUGGGCGUAAAGGGCGCGUAGGCGGCGCGAGGAGUCGGGGGUGAAAGUCCGGGGCUCAACCCCGGAUCGGCCUUCGAUACUCUCGCGCUGGAGCACAGUAGAGGCGGGUGGAAUUCCGGGUGUAGCGGUGGAAUGCGUAGAGAUCCGGAAGAACACCGGUGGCGAAGGCGGCCCGCUGGGCUGUGGCUGACGCUGAGGCGCGACAGCGUGGGGAGCAAACAGG